rnacentral:misc_RNA from 1 species
AGAACAAAUUGCUUGACGACGUUCAUGUGGGCGGGGUGGGCGGAGUAGAUGGAGAGAUCCUCCUUGGAGGGGUAGCGGCUGUGAAGGAGGUGAGUGAAGGUGGAGGAGGAGGAGCGGUUGCGGAGGAUGGGACCGGCGGUGAGAUGGAGGACUUGGUCGAGAGAGAUCAGACCAUUGAGGCCGGUGAGCAUGUCGUUUACCUUGGAGGAAUCGAGGCCGUCUUUGACCUUGAAGAGGACGACGUGCUCGAUUGGUUGAGUGUGAGCGGCGGCGGACAUGUUGACUGAGAAUGGUCGGAAAGAAAGAGAAGGGUUUGGGCGGCGGAGGCGGAGGCGGAGG